rnacentral:rRNA from 1 species
CAGUAGCCGCGGGAAUACAGAGGGUGCAAGCGUUAAUCGGAAUUACUGGGCGUAAAGUGCGCGUAGGUGGUUUGUUAAGUUGGAUGUGAAAUCCCCGGGCUCAACCUGGGAACUGCAUCCAAAACUGGCAAGCUAGAGUAUGGUAGAGGGUGGUGGAAUUUCCUGUGUAGCGGUGAAAUGCGUAGAUAUAGGAAGGAACACCAGUGGCGAAGGCGACCACCUGGACUGAUACUGACACUGAGGUGCGAAAGCGUGGGGAGCAAACAGGAUUAGAUACCCCCGUAGUCCCUGUCUCUUAUAC